GAGCUUGCUCNUAUGAAGUNUAGCGGCGGACGGGUGAGUAACACGUGGGUAACCUGCCCAUAAGACUGGGAUAACUCCGGGAAACCGGGGCUAAUACCGGAUAACAUUUUGAACCGCAUGGUUCGAAAUUGAAAGGCGGCUUCGGCUGUCACUUAUGGAUGGACCCGCGUCGCAUUAGCUAGUUGGUGAGGUAACGGCUCACCAAGGCAACGAUGCGUAGCCGACCUGAGAGGGUGAUCGGCCACACUGGGACUGAGACACGGCCCANACUCCUACGGGAGGCAGCAGUGGG
rnacentral:rRNA from 1 species